UACAGAGGGGGCAAGCGUUGUUCGGAAUUACUGGGCGUAAAGGGCGCGUAGGCGGCCUGUUAAGUCGAACGUGAAAUCCCCGGGCUCAACCCGGGAACUGCGUCCGAUACUGGCAGGCUUGAAUCCGGGAGAGGGAUGCGGAAUUCCAGGUGUAGCGGUGAAAUGCGUAGAUAUCGGGAGGAACACCAGUGGCGAAAGCGGCGCUCUGGGCCUAAACUGACGCUGAGGGGCGAAAGCGUGGGGAGCGAACGGG
rnacentral:rRNA from 1 species